ensembl:lncRNA
CGGAGCCCCCGGCACCCUGCGGCCGGGCGUCACCCACGCGUGGGGCGGGGGCGGCGGGACUCGGCCGGCAACAGCCGUCGAGGAAAUCGGGACCGAGGAGCGGCGGGGCGGCCGAGGCACCGGCCGAGGUUUGUGUGUUUACCCAUCGCUAAUGCAGAGGGCUGCCACCGGACCCCUGGCACCGCGGCUUUCAGCUUUUCUAUCUGUCAUCAUUUAAUUCGGCAGUGACUUCGCCAGAUGAAGAGAGAUCUCUCGUAUCGCUGCGCUUAACCCCGUGCUGCGAUCCAGAGAUGUAAAUAGAUGGCAUCAGAUGAUAGCACAAAUCUCUAUCGGUGGAGCCUACAGCUGCAGACAAACCUUGAAGAAGGUCUCCUACAGCAGCAUGAAAGGCUGCUGACCAGAGGCCAUUAGAACAUGACUGGGAAGAGGAAGACUUGGCUGUGACUGGCUGGUACCUUCACAGAAGGCCCUCGAACAACUGUUUAUUUCCAGAGUCUUCCCGGAUUUUUGUGAAAAUCUGCAUACCACAGACUUCUAGAAUGCAAGCAGAAGAUA